rnacentral:tRNA from 1 species
AGGAUAGUAGCCAAACGGUAAGGCGGCUCGGCGGAGUGACUUGCAGGUUCGAAUCCUGUCUAUCCAU